rnacentral:rRNA from 1 species
CCUACGGGUGGCAGCAGUGAGGAAUAUUGGUCAAUGGACGAGAGUCUGAACCAGCCAAGUAGCGUGAAGGAUGACUGCUCUAUGGGUUGUAAACUCUUUUUAUAAAGGAAUAAAACGAGGCACGUGUGCCUUUUUGCAUGUACUUUAUGAAUAAGGAUCGGCGAACUCUGUGCCAGCAGCCGCGGUAAUAAGGAGGAUCCGAGCGUUAUCCGGAUUUAUUGGGUUUAAAGGGAGCGUAGAUGGGUUGUUAAGUCAGUUGUGAAAGUUUGCGGCUCAACCGUAAAAUUGCAAUUGAUACUGGCAGUCUGGAGUACAGUUGAGGUAGGCGGAAUUCGUGGUGUAGCGGUGAAAUGCUUAGAUAUCACGAAGAACCCCGAUUGCGAAGGCAGCUUACUAAACUGUGACUGACAUUGAGGCUCGAAAGUGUGGGGAUCAAACAGGAUUAGAUACCCGGGUAGUC